GAGGAAGAGCUGAUCCAGUCAGAGAACUCGGCCUCCAUCUUCAACACGCUAUCGGAUAUCCCGUCGCAGAUGGAGGACGCGGAGCUGCUUCUGGGGGUGGCCAUGCGGCUGGCCGGCUCCCUCACCGAUGUGGCCGUGGAGACUCAGCGCCGCAAGCACCUGGCCUAUCUCAUUGCAGACCAGGGCCAGCUCCUGGGGGCCGGCACCCUCACCAACCUCUCUCAGGUUGUUCGCCGCAGGACCCAGCGGAGGAAGUCCACCAUCACUGCUCUGCUCUUUGGUGAGAGCUCUGCGAGUGCCAGGCAGUGUGGGCAUGCGGGAGUCUGUCCUCACGCUCAUGUGGACGUGGAGCUUCCUCCUCGGGGGCCUGGAGUGGGCUGUGGUCACCAUUGCUCUCUGGGCCUCCUAGGGGAGGAUGACCUGGAGGCACUCAAGGCCAAGAACAUCAAGCAGACGGAACUGGUGGCUGACCUCCGGGAAGCCAUCCUGCGCGUGGCACGCCACUUCCAGUGCACAGACCCCAAAAACUGCAGCGUGGAGCUGACUCCAGACUACAGCAUGGAGAGCCACCAGCGGGACCACGAGAACUACGUGGCAUGCUCACGCAGCCACCGGCGCCGAGCCAAGGCCCUGCUGGACUUUGAGCGGCACGACGACGACGAGCUGGGCUUCCGCAAGAACGACAUCAUCACAAUCGUGUCUCAGAAGGACGAGCACUGCUGGGUGGGGGAGCUCAACGGCCUGCGAGGCUGGUUUCCAGCCAAGUUCGUGGAAGUCCUGGAUGAGCGCAGCAAAGAGUACUCCAUCGCGGGGGAUGACUCGGUGACGGAGGGGGUCACAGACCUCGUGCGAGGGACCCUCUGCCCGGCCCUUAAGGCCCUGUUCGAACAUGGACUGAAGAAGCCAUCCCUGCUUGGGGGCGCCUGCCACCCCUGGCUGUUUAUCGAGGAG
rnacentral:sRNA from 1 species